rnacentral:rRNA from 1 species
AAACCAACAGGGAUUGCCUUAGUAGCGGCGAGUGAAGCGGCAAAAGCUCAAAUUUGAAAUCUGGCGCCUUCGGUGUCCGAGUUGUAAUUUGAAGAUUGUAACCUUGGGGUUGGCUCUUGUCUAUGUUUCUUGGAACAGGACGUCACAGAGGGUGAGAAUCCCGUGCGAUGAGAUGCCCAAUUCUAUGUAAGGUGCUUUCGAAGAGUCGAGUUGUUUGGGAAUGCAGCUCUAAGUGGGUGGUAAAUUCCAUCUAAAGCUAAAUAUUGGCGAGAGACCGAUAGCGAACAAGUACAGUGAUGGAAAGAUGAAAAGAACUUUGAAAAGAGAGUGAAAAAGUACGUGAAAUUGUUGAAAGGGAAGGGUUUGAGAUCAGACUCGAUAUUUUGUGAGCCUUGCCUUCGUGGCGGGGUGACCCGCAGCUUAUCGGGCCAGCAUCGGUUUGGGCGGUAGGAUAAUGGCGUAGGAAUGUGACUUUACUUCGGUGAAGUGUUAUANCCUGCGUUGAUGCUGCCUGCCUAGACCGAGGACUGCUAUUUUAUCAAGGAUGCUGGCAUAAUGAUCCCAAACCGC